GUUAUUUUAUCAAGGCUUUGACUGAAGGGGUGUGUCUCCCUUUAAGGAAUCAAGCUCGACAUGUACAGCCAAUUAAAGCCCCUUAGGGAGAACUGGCCUACCACCUUGUCUAUACAGUUCCUAACCUGUGGUCAGUGAAGAAUGUCACUUUCUAAUAGGUCUGGAAGCUAUGAGUUUAUCUUGGGACCUCAAGAGGAAAGGAUCACCCAACUCACAGCUUUUUGCCUACGUUUUAGACGAACCCUGCUUAUUCCUGUGAAUCAACUGGUGAUCUGCAGCUUGGAAAAAAGAAAAAAGGGACGGGUAACGUCAAAAUGUGAAUCAAUAUGCUAGUUCUGGGCAAUUAUCUUGCAACUUCUGCCGGGUAAUGAAAAAGGAAAGAACUUGGCCUCAGGACGCAGAAAUCCUGGAUUUAAAUUUCUCACGCUGCCAGGAGGAAUAAAAAAACAACAACAAAAGCUACUAUGUGAUGCCCUUAAUCUGUCUGGGUUUCAGUUGCCACAUGUAUGACAUAGGAAUAAAACUACCUUUCUUUCCUGACCCAUCUACUUUCUUGUAUUCCCUUCAGGGCU
rnacentral:lncRNA from 10 species